rnacentral:rRNA from 1 species
ACGAACGCUGGCGGCGUGCCUAAUACAUGCAAGUAGAACGCUGGAGGAGGAGCUUGCUUCUCUGGAUGAGUUGCGAACGGGUGAGUAACGCGUAGGUAACCUGCCUGGUAGCGGGGGAUAACUAUUGGAAACGAUAGCUAAUACCGCAUAAUAUUGACUAUUGCAUGAUAGUCAGUUGAAAGGUGCAACUGCACCACUACCAGAUGGACCUGCGUUGUAUUAGCUAGUUGGUGGGGUAACGGCUCACCAAGGCGACGAUACAUGGCCGACCUGAGAGGGUGAUCGGCCACACUGGGACUGAGACACGGCCCAGACUCCUACGGGAGGCAGCAGUAGGGAAUCUUCGGCAAUGGACGGAAGUCUGACCGAGCAACGCCGCGUGAGGGAAGAAGGUUUUCGGAUCGUAAAGCUCUGUUGUAAGAGAAGAACGAGUGUGAGAGUGGAAAGCUCACACUGUGACGGUAUCUUACCAGAAAGGGACGGCUAACUACGUG